GACGAACGCUGGCGGCGUGCUUAACACAUGCAAGUCGAACGGAAAGGCCCCUUUGGGGGUACUCGAGUGGCGAACGGGUGCGUAACACGUGAGUAACCUGCCCUUGACUUCGGGAUAACUUCAGGAAACUGGGGCUAAUACCGGAUAGGAAUCCUUGCUGCAUGGGGGGGGUUGGAAAGCUUCGGCGGUUUUGGAUGGACUCGCGGCUUAUCAGCUUGUUGGUGGGGUAGUGGCUUACCAAGGCUUUGACGGGUAGCCGGCCUGAGAGGGCGACCGGCCACAUUGGGACUGAGAUACGGCGCAGACGCCUACGGGAGGCAGCAGUGGGGAAUAUUGCACAAUGGGCGGAAGCCUGAUGCAGCAACGCCGCGUGCGGGAUGACGGCCUUCGGGUUGUAAACCGCUUUCAGCAGGGGCGAAGCUUUUGUGACGGUACCUGCAGAAGAAGCACCGGCUAACUACGUG
rnacentral:rRNA from 1 species